AUAUUGGUCAAUGGACGCAAGUCUGAACCAGCCAUGCCGCGUGAAGGAUGAAGGUCCUCUGGAUUGUAAACUUCUUUUAUCUGGGACGAAAACGGGAUUUUUAUCUCAAUUGACGGUACCAGAGGAAUAAGCACCGGCUAACUCCGUGCCAGCAGCCGCGGUCAUACGGAGGGUGCGAGCGUUAUCCGGAUUUACUGGGUUUAAAGGGUGCGUAGGUGGGCUUAUAAGUCAGUGGUGAAAUCUCCGAGCUUAACUUGGAAACUGCCGUUGAUACUAUAGGUCUUGAAUUAUCGGGAGGUAAGCGGAAUAUGUCAUGUAGCGGUGAAAUGCUUAGAUAUGACAUAGAACACCAAUUGCGAAGGCAGCUUACUACAUAUAAAUUGACGCUGAGGCACGAAAGCGUGGGGAUCAAACA
rnacentral:rRNA from 1 species